rfam:Comamonas aquatica DA1877 out_6, whole genome shotgun sequence.
UGUCUCCUCCACCUCCUCUAACGGUGGAUUCAGCCCCAAGCCCCUCGGUUUGGGGCUUUUUUU